rnacentral:rRNA from 1 species
UACGUAGGGGGCUAGCGUUGUCCGGAAUCAUUGGGCGUAAAGCGCGUGUAGGCGGCCCGGUAAGUCCGCUGUGAAAGCCCAGGGCUCAACCCUGGGAUGCCGGUGGAUACUGUCGGGCUCGAGUCCGGAAGAGGCGAGUGGAAUUCCUGGUGUAGCGGUGAAAUGCGCAGAUAUCAGGAGGAACACCAAUGGCGAAGGCAGCUCGCUGGGACGUGACUGACGCUGAUACGCGAAAGCGUGGGGAGCAAACAGG